rnacentral:rRNA from 1 species
CGAGACCUCAGGUCAGGCGGGGCUACCCGCUGAGUUUAAGCAUAUCAAUAAG